CAUUCAUAAAGCCUGCUGGUGGUGGGGGAGGUGGAGUGACAGUUUGCAUUUUUCUGGUCUUUUAACUUCUUUGCUGCUGACCGUGAUUACAAACUCUGUGUAGCUACAGCCACUGGGAAAGUCAUAUUUUUUAGUUAGAGAAGCUCAAAUACUUUACAUUAAGGCAACAGUCAACAGACAAACCUAGUUCUCCUAAAGAAAACCAGCCCCUGUCUAGCUGGAACUUGUUGGAUCACACUGCUGCUUUCACCAGGUCUUUACAAAUGGAAACUCGAAAGUUAUGAAGUGGAGGAAGAAGGGAAACUUGUCCAAAAUUUAACUUGACGUGGAGCUGGGAUGCAGACUAGGUGUGCAGAGUUGGAAGCUGCUGGAUUCUGUCCUCUAGCUUUAUUUUCACUGAUUACCAUAGCAUCAAGGAAAAAAUUAAAUUUGGAGGCACCUCUGGAAGGUAAUCUGAAGAAAAUGUCCUGCUCUACGUAGAAGGGAGAGGCUGAACAAGACUCUAACCAUCACAAGAUGUAAGUUCUGUGGAAGCUUGACUCCAGGACCAGUGUCCAUUGAUCUCAGUGGUUCCUUCUCAUUCUGACCUCUGUGAAUUUUCUGUAUCUUUUUGAAUUAAGAAACAAGAAUUCCUAAUAUUUUCCAGGUCUUAUGCAAAGCUCUUGGAGAAAGGAGACUAGAUUUAAGGAUUGGUCUUAAACCUCAUGAAAGCAUUCAUAAUGUCAACAUUUGAAAUAAUCCCUGUACUUUGAAUUACAUCACUAUGACAAAAGCAUGAUAUCAAGAAAAGUAUCUGAAAUGUCAGUAUUUAUUUUCAUGGACUUUGCUUUGUAGAGAAUCUUGGACAUCAAGCUCAAAGUUCCAAGAAUAUUCCCUUCAGAAAAAGAGGAGGUACUAAAUUUCCUAUCUUCUUUCACAGUGCCUUUCUUCUACACUCAAUUUCCUUUCCUUUUUCAGCAGCAUUCUGAUUAGCAUUUCUCUGUGGAAAAUCAAUACUUAUUUCAUAAGAAUGAAACUGGCUUUGAAUUUCAAAUGGAAAUUGAACCUUAGAAACCUUUGAUUCCUCAAAUAUGAAUUUGUUAAAUGGACCCCAAAAUGGACUCCCAAAAUGCCUGUUCUUCCCCUGUUUAAAGAAUUAUGUGCACAAAAACAUAGAAGGAGAACUGAAGAACUCCCACACUUGAAGAGUAGAUUAGAAUUAUCCAUGAGCAAGUUCUGGGAAAAGCCUAAUGCUGUGUUAAAAAAAAAGGAGCUAAGAUGGAUGAUGUGUUGAAUGUCUCUGUAAAACUCCUCAACCAGAGAAGAAUUAUGGACAUCACCCAGGAUGCAGACAGCCCUCACUACGGUGCUACAAAGGCAGGUCUGUAAAUUCCUGCUUGACUAGACAAAGUUAAUUGCCCCUGAGUGUGGUGCUGCUACAACCGUGCUGCUCCUGGCUCUAGAGGUCUCUGCCCCAGGAUUCAUCAUGCAAUGAAGCUUAACACCUGCCUUUAGGGUUUCUUGCUUUAUUCAAAAAACCAGUCCAGACAAUUUACAGGGUAAUCCCAAUCCUAGGUUGCAUUUGUAACAUAAAAGAUAUUUUGACUUUAACAUAUUGAAAAGAUAACUCAUCUGGGAAUGUGAUGGACCUCCCAAACAGAUACAAUACAAUGGCUUAACUAUUUAAAGCAUUGAUUAGGGGACACUACCAUGUCCAAGAUAGCAAAUGAAGGGAUUCUGGAUUCCCUGUUCUCUCAUGUUUCCCACACCUGGUUUAAUAAAAUGAGAACAGUUCCAGAAUUUUGUCGCUCUGUGCACUGCAUAGACUUUCUGCUGACUGAUUUCUUUUUUCAAGGCAAUAGAACAGAAAGAAGCAGCCAAUGAUGAUAUUUGAUUCUCAUCUAUGUUCUGUAAGCCUCGGUAUCUCUCACCUUUUGACCCAACCAUCCAUGUUGUUAAGAAAAUCCUACAGUCAGUAAUGAGGACAGCCAAUUCCUUUUUCUGAAAGGUCAAACUCAGAAACGAAUCCAACUCCUAGUUUUCUGAAAUGUUGGAAUAAAACAUUCCUUUCACUUGACUUCAACCCCAGGUCUCAUCUGAUCUGGAGAGAAUAACUGCAAGUGAGGACUGGCAUAAGAGACCUCCAGCAUUCAUGAUUCAAGGGAUCUACAAAUAGCCCCAAAUAGAAAUCCUCUUGUCUGAGCAUUUAAAAUUAUUGAGAGAAUCACUGAUUCAGUGAUAACACCAGGUGCUCAUUUAAAUGCUGCAGUUUAAAGCUGAACUUGCUCUGUAUGCUUUCUCUUUUGAGGAGUUUCUUCCUUUAUGAGUAGGAUAGUGCAAAAGACAUAUUUUGCUUGCAAUGGAUAUACAUUUCCAUGCCCUAAGGUACAGAGAUCCAGGAAGGGAAUGUGUGAAUUAGCCCGCAAUGAGAUAUAUGGUUUAUGGACUAGGGGCAGAAAAAAAGAAUCUUUGCACGAAACAGUGUCAAUGCAGAGGCCAUUAUCUGCAGAUUCUGUAUCCUCCCUUCGCCCUGGUACAGUUAGUGCCUAUCAUCUCAUCCAGGUUUCAGCCUCAAGUUAGGCUACAGGUAUUCUGUAAUAUAACACUCACAGCAUUCUUGAAGAUUUUGGGUCAGGUUUGCCUGUUUGCAGUCAUAGUCUGACUUUCUUUUUAUAACUGAGCUGGCAGCAAAAGGCAAAAUAUACUGAGGAAAAAAUACUUUACAAAAUCUGGAGAUAAGAGAAGAAAUGUCAGAAGGAGAAAUCUUAUUCCCUUCAAGCUGAGACAGACAAGGACAGAAUACAGAAUUACUGCCUUGUUUCACAAUGCAAAACACAUUACUUGAGGAUAACCAUUUGAAUAUGACUUGUUUCCCCUUAAGAAAUUGAUAUAACCUUUGAACCUUUAGAGGCUGCACACAGACACUUGCAUAUAGCACCGUAUGAAACUUCACAUAUUGACAAAUUAGAAUGCUAUUUUUGACAAGGCAGUGAUAUGUCAGGUUAAAUCUGACACUAGAGAAAACACCUCUGGUCUGUGUCUGCAGGUAUAAUCUUCUAGUCCGUGACCAAGUUAAAACGACUCAAUUUUAUUAGCUUUCCAGCUCCACAUUAAUCCUUUAAAUACGGAUAUAUGAAAAUAGAGCAAACUCUUAUUUAUUCUGGUAAUUCCUAAUAUAAGAUUAAAAUGGAUGUUGAUUGAGACUGGAGACCUGUUGGAAAGUUUGUUUAAAAGUGUCCUUGUGGGACUCUGACCAAAGUCUCACCAGCCCUAGGGCAGCAUACACAUACUGUACACAUGCAAGCUAAUGAUCAUAUUCCCAUAUGAACUUUCUGAACAUCAUUUAUGCAGAGCUGAAAAACACUAUAAAAAAAAAUUAAAUUUCAGCAGUUAAGUGGAUGUAUGCUUUGUCAAUUCUUUUAGGAGGAGGAAGGUGGUACAGUUGCACUCACUUCUCUGAAUGGAUUGCAAUCCUGAGUACUAAAAAGUACUGGGUUUACACCAACAGUUCUGGGGCGUUUUGUGAUCCAUUUAUUCAUUGAUAAGUCAGAAUUCCUUCAACUGGAAUAUAAAGUAAAUGGAGGAAACUUGAAUAAUUAAUGACUUGAAACAGAAGUAGCCAGUGUUUUUAUGAACCCCCUGGCACCAAUUUUGAAUAAAAGGAAUUCUAAUACCUGGGGGUAAAGAAAAAGUUUCUAAGGUUCUAUUAAAUGUUUCAAGCCACAGAUUUAAACAUCUGGCUAAAAGAGCUCAUAUUUGAGCAUGGGAGGUUUAGGUUAAACGAACCAGUCUCUGGGGACUUGAACAGAGUCACCAUACUGCACACCUGAACCACAGUGAGUCCUAGGAAAGAAGUUCCUGGAGAAGCUCAUAUGCUAAUUCACAUAUGCAAAGCUGAAAAUAAAACAUAAAGCCUGAAAUUUGAAUUAAAGAGAAAUGUAUGCACAUUAUUAUCAGUACAUAGCUGCUUGUUACUGAGUGACAAAACAUAUUUCUUGCUCCUGCCACUCAGCCUUCAGACACCUCCUCCAGACAGAAAUGAGAGGUCCAUGGGCAGCCAGGGGAAUUGAGAAUACUUAGGGGAAUCAGCUGGUCAUAUCCAGCCUACUGAAAAAAAACAGAGAGCAAACCGCAUGUGACAGCAAAACUACCAGAAAACUGUAAACAGUAAGGAAAAAACACAACCCCCAGGAAGAAAACCUCACACUGAUGAAUACCUUAGUGUUCAUCCACCUCUACAGUUUUUAUUUCCAUUCCUUUCCACCUAUUUCAACCUCCUAUUUUUUUAAAUCUUUUUAAAAUUUCCAGUACAGGACAGUGAGUUGUGUACAAAAGUCUACAAAAUAUAUUCUUAAAGUUUGCCACUCUAAAUCUUUCUCUUCUUUUUCAAGUGUCUGAAAACCCAUGUCUAAAACUAAGCAGUAUGCUCACAUGAGGUGUGUGCCUUUGGAUAUAUACUGAUUACAGGUUUAGAGGGGAUUAUUCUCUUCCACUUACAGUUACUGUUUCUCUUCACUGUUGUGUCACUUCCCUUAUUGUCUUCAGUGUUCCACGCAAAAUUCAGCUAAAAGAUAUUGAACAACAACAAAAAAUCCAAACAGCAGAGCAAUUGCUUAUUAAAAAUAUGAAAACCAAAAUCUAAAUCAACUACAACAAGAAAACCUCAUUCCUUUCAAAAACCCAUUCACAGUUAUGUGCUGCACUGGUACCAUGAGAAUUCAAACAGAAAAAGAUGUGGCCUAUCCAAACCUUACAUUGAAUUAUUCUGUAGGCAGAAAAAAAAUCCUAAUUACUGCCUCAUCCAGUGUGAUGAACUCAGAUCAGUCCCGUGGAAAAAGGCCUUAAGGUUACAGAUGUAAAUUGUUUGCAAUAGACCUAAUACAUCUCUCCCAGCCUUUUCAUUGUAGAUAUUGCUGAUUGAUUUGCUGUAUUCAGGUGCAGCAGAGAUUGUUGUGAUAUGAAUUAUUAUUAACUCGUGAAUAACAUAGAUACAAAUGUGUCAAAAUCUGUUUAAGCCACUGGAUACCUCUCCCCUUUAAUUAGAUCUGGCAAUCUCCAAAGCACAAUAUUUUAAAUGAGAAAUUGAUAAGCAACGUACAGAACAAACACCCUAAUCUAUUUAAUGGCACUUUAAUGGCUUCAAUUUACUUUUUUUUUCUUAAAUAAAUGUCAAGUUCAGUUGAAGAUGAUAAGUCUUGGCUAUUGUUGAAAGUGCAUUUUUUGUGGUUAAAGUUACUAAUAAAAUGUUAAUCAGGCUUAUUUCUUGCCCUGCACUAUCAGCUAUUGCUUCAAAGCAAAGCUCCUAAGAUUUAAAGACAGCUUUUGUACAGUUGAGACCUCCCUGUGGCAUUAGAAAUUACACUCACUUUUUCUUCUUCCUUUUCUCAGAUUGCUUAUUCCAUCAGGAGUAAUUUACUCUAAUUAGAGUCUGUGUGUUCUGAAACUGUAACUGUUUCUCCAGGACAAGUUGAACAAUAUUGUCUCUCUAGUUGCUAUGCCCCUAACAGCCUCAUAAGCAAACUUUAAACCUGAAUAAAUUAAACCUAGAACACAGCAUUUGUCAGACUGGAUCAGACAACUGGUCUGUCACAGUGCCCUGCCUGCCAUGGGCAAUGAUGAAAUGCUUCAUGCUCUUGAGCAAGACGAAGUAUGCCUGGUGUACCCAAGGCAAUAUUCUCUGUAGCAAAGGGAAAAUUCCUUCCUGGCCUGUGUAGGUGAUGGAUUAUUUCCCUGAAGCUUAGGAUUUUAUUAUGACUUUGCUUUUGCUUCUUUAACUAAAGAGGUAAUAGAUAUCAAGUCAGAAAUUCUUAUAUGUAAAACCAGACACAUGCUCUUUAUUCAACCUAUUUCUUCUUUCCCGAUGUGGAAAGAAGUGUUGUGAAGUGGGUCAAGCAUAAAUUCACAGAAAUCAAAACCACUCAUAUCAGUGAGUGCAGGAUCUGAGGACAGCCUGUGGCAAACUGUCAUCUGUGCCUUCUUCUGUAGACUUCACCAUGCCCUCAUCAAGUUUACCAAAGGGUUUCUUGUUCUUUUGGUAGGGUAACAGCCCCACUUCCCACUCAAGAAUAUAAAUUAUUCAUUCUUCUCCCUGUCAUUUUCCAUAGCUAUCACUGCUUUAAUAAUGGGAGGGGAGUCUUGGUUUGGUUUUCCGUCCUUUUUUUUUUUUUUUUUUAAUUGUUUAGGCAUAUAAUAACUCCUCCUUAGACUAAGGCAUUCCUGGGUGAUAUUUUUUAUUUUACAUACAUCUUUGCAAGACAAUUGUUUCAGUCACAGCAUCAUUUUCCUUAAAAUCAUAGGAUCAAAGUUAUAAGACAUAAUGAAGCAAGAGAGUAAUAUUAUUUCAAUCAAAAUGUCAUUGUUAUGACUCUAUCACUUUCUGACUUUUUAAAAAAUUUAUUCUCUUUGAGAAAAUCCUGUGGGUUUUUUUUUAGCUAAACUGUCACAAACAGCACAACUAACAUCAAGCAGAAAACUCACACAAGAAAGCUUUUUCCCUCAAAAAGCCAUUCUCUCUAUCCUUUAAUGGUUUCUCUUCUUUCAGAUUAAAAAAAAACCAAACCCACAAAACCCCUACAUUACAAACCCACAAAAGAUCAGUUAUUUUCAGUUAUUUUCACCCAUGAACAUUAUAUUUGGUUGAAUUUCAUAGGCAUCAUGCUGCUCAGGGCAGGGGUGUCGGCAUCUGCAUAGCUCUGGAUUUUAAUUGCCAAAUCAUGCUAAUUAAGUAAAAAAACCUUAAAGACUGUUAUUAGCAAAUAUCCAACUUGUUGCAUUCUCUCUCAUGCAGAUCAUUGGCCUAUAUGUAAUGUGGCCCUGACCUAAGCCAACUCAUUGAUUUUUCUCCAAAACCAAGAUUCAAAAAUUGCCUUGUUGUCCUUCCUUUCACUUAAAUACCUUUCUGUCUUAAGAAACAUUUUAUUAUCUUUAUUUUAAAUUUUCCUUUGUACAAACAGUGCUCUACCACAGGCUUUAUAGUCUUAUUUGAAAUAAAAAUCAAAAGCAGUUAUAUUUUUGAUCCUACGUCUAUUUUUUCUUUUAAAUAGAAACUGAAAAACACAUGAUCCCAUUAAACCAAAUUAAAAGCAAUUUUUUGCUACAUGAACUUUGCAUAGUAUUACACCAUGUCUCUAAAAUUUAAGUUAGUGUCCAGUGAUCAAAACAGAAACAAUGUCUUUUAUUCUUCAGCUUUGCCUUAUACCCUGAGCUGCUUAAGUAAUGACUUUCAUUUCAGGGUUUAUGUUUCUGAUCUGCUUUUCAGGUGAAGUUGCUUAAGUUCAAACUCGGGAAAAGAACACUUUUAAAAGAAAAAUUUUAAAAUAAAGCUGUUACUCCCCUAUUUUUGCUCAAAUACUGCAUGUAAAAGUAGGAAGUUUAAACGUUUGGUUGAGAAAAAGAGAAACAGCUUUUAAAGACAUAAAUAUCUCAAUAAUAGUUGCAAUCCUUCCAUAUAGGAGUGGUGUAAUUAUGACUGGUCCAGAAAAGAGGGUGGCAGUGGAAAGGACAUUAAUGGGGUAUUUAUAAAGAAGAAAACAAUAUUUCAGAAUGAAAUAGCACUGCACUGAAACAGUUGCAAUGCUCCAUAAAAUCGCUGGAAUUGAGCAACAUAUUAAAAAUGCCACGUAUCUCUUUUUCCUAUGACAAGAAAAUACAUCUAACUUUGAAGGAUAAUGGCAUCUUUUAUGGCACAUCCUUCGUGCACACAGUUGCAUCACCUUCAAGAGUGCACAAAUUCACUUUUAAAAGUUUGUGCAGGGCCUUGAAAAAUAGAUAACACAUUCAGUGAACCUGUUGUAAUUCUAAGAGGAGUGAACAAACAAUUUGCAGUAUUACUGAGUGAGGCUAGAGCCAUCUUAACUUAUGCAGGUGUCAUAAUUUGCAUUAAAAAGCUCAAAACAGAUGUUAGGGGGUUUCUCAGCAUAUAACAAAUGCAAAGCAUCACACACAUGUAGACUUUCUCUUACAUGAAUAACUUUGUCCAUACACAUUGGAAUAUGUCUUCUGAAUAUGUACUUACUAUGUUCACAAGCAAUAUCUAGGAUAAAAUUUUAUGGAAAGGAUUUCUGCAUUGAUAUGACAUUUACCCCCUACAUUUUUUCUAAACUCCACUUUUGGUGACCCAUAUUUCAAGAAAGUAAUCCCAAAACAGAUAUACUGUGCAUUUUAAAUAAAAAAAAGAACAUAUUGUGGGUGAUAGAUAUAUUUCUGAGCAUGUCAACUUUGCAAGCACAGAGCUCAGGCAGUAAGUUUUCUCUAAUGCCAAAUACUUUCUUAUCUUCGAAUGAAUGUGGCAAAAAACAACAACAACAAAACAAACAAACAAAAACCCCAAACAAACAAAACCUCAAAAAACAAAUGAACAAACAAAAAGCCCAUGAAAAAAAACCUCAGUCUAGGAGCUAUACUGCCACAAGGACCUAUAGACAAGAUGCAGGAGGCCAUUUCUUAAAAGCACUUUCUGUCCUUGGUGAACCCAGGACUGUGUUACUAAGUCUUUCCCUUGGUUAGGAGGAAUAGUGAUUCCACACACUCUGCAGUAUAACACACUCUUUAAUAAGGAAUGAACUUAGUAAUGAUGUGAAUAACAAAACACAGCAAGAAAGACAAAAUUCACAAACCCAGCUUUGCAAAGUUUUAGAGCAGCUAAAGUUCUGAAACUACUUAGCUUUUAAAAAUCCCAGUCAGUGAAACUUUCAGCAUGUUUGAGUGUAAUUUAGCUCUCUUGUUAUCUCUGGUUAUUAGCUUGAUGGAAGCUGAUGUAGGUUAGCAUCUUAACAAUUUGGUAGUUCAUGCUGUAGCACUGAACACAGAGGACAUUUUAAUUCACAUGGUGACAUUUGGAGCCAGACUAUAAAACCUCAUAAAUAUUAUAUAUUCCAUUAUUUGCUUCUUAUAAAGGGGAUUACCAUAUGAAAACCCAAAUAUUGGCUGCAUGUAAGGAAAAGGAAUCAGAGUAUGCAAAAAACAAAAGUUUGUAAAUUUGGGAGGCUAAAGAAGGAAGAACACAAAGUUAUUGAUUUAGGCACUACUUUUCUCUAACAACUGCCUGGGUAUUUAAAGCUUGCAGUGGCAAACAGAAUAACCCUCUGUCCACUCAAAAUUCACACCUUCCAGAUAAUAUAUUGUCAUUAAAGUAGUAAGAUUCUGUAAAAGUUGAAUAAACCAAUCUGCAAGUUACCUUUCUGUCUGAGUGGAGCAUUUCUCUAAAUGUUACCCAAUCAUCUAGCAAUUAAUGCAGGGGAACAGAGCCUUAAGACUUCAGUCUCAAAUGAUAAACCUCAGAAUAACUACAGUCAAGGUGUGUAUGUGAGUGUGUGUGCAUGCAUGUAAAAAUAGCUCAUGUUCCACUGUUUGCUGAUUAAUCUCUCUCAACUAAUCAAUUAAUAAAUAAGCAACAGAAUAUGAAUUGUUUUUAAGUCAAAUAAAUAAGUCUCAUCCUUCAUUUGGUCCAAAUUCCACCAGUGACUCCUAGAACCACUGAUUUAAAUGUUUGGGGGUUUUUUGUAUAUUUAUUUAAGCAUAUUUCUUUAUCUUACCAUUUCAAGCAUCACUGAGGGUAUUUGAUUGUCCUUUCCUGAGCUGUUCGGAGAGCAUCAUUAUCCUCUCUGAUUAUAAUUCCCAGCUUAGCUGACUGUAUCACCUUCAAAACUUUAUUUGAGAACUUACCUAAUUAGCCUUUGAACCACUAAUUGGCUAUUAUCUGCAGAUCUCUUUGCUUUUUCUUUCACAGAAGGUUUUGUUCCUUUCAUUAUGGGAACAUAGAAAUUGCCAUCCUGGGACAAAACAAUGGGUCACAUAGUCUCAUAUCCUCUCUCCUACCGGAGCAAAGACAAGACCUCUCAAGCAGGUGUUCAGCACCCCGAGCCUGCUCCUGUCAUUAUCUCAUCUGCAAGGCUUCCACUGAAAUAAAAGGCCCUGAACAUUUCUCCUUUGGCUGUAUGUGGGCAUUGAACAGAUGUCUUCAUUGAACAGUCCAUGGUGACAUUUUAUUUUUUUUUUUUUCCCUGAGAGAUUACAGCUAAUUCAGAACUUAAUCACAUCUACAAAUAGUGUAGAUGUCAUUCCCAAACAGCUCAUAUGUACUGGUCUGGGUACUGUGCCCCUUAAUGCUGCUAAUUACAAGUUGGCUGUGCAGGCAUACAUCUUGUGAAAGAAGCAAAUUUAAGCUCUAAACCUUUUCCCAACCAAGAUGUCUUUUUUGAUUUCAAUGGAAAACUUGCACUUUUUAGCCUUACAAGAAAUUACAAUUAUUUUAUCAUAACAGCCUGAUAAAAUUUUAUCCUAACAGCCUUAUAAAUAUUUGGCUUAAUUUAAUAGAAGAACAUCUCUCAUAUAUCUUCAAUGAUAAACCAUAAGAAAUGACAAAUCAUCGUCUUUAAAACAUUUUAAAAGUUUGAUUCCCAGUAUUGCCAACCUUAUCUAUUUAAACUUUUUGAACUAAGCUCCAGAGAUUCCCAACCCACAUGAAAAAAACCCCAAGACUUUUAUCAAGUGUUCAACAGACUGCUGAAAUAAUGAGGGGAUGGCUUAUUUAUCCACCUUCAGAUAUUUGAAAGUCUGAGUUAUCCCUCUGAAAAGAUAACACUAAAGAAAAAUAGUCAAGCACAGCUCUUUAUUUCAGUAAAAAAAAUGAGGGGAAAGAAGAAAGAGGAGUACCCCUGGAACACUGAUCCCCACAAUUCAAGAUGUGCACAGACUAGAGAGGGUCCACAGAAGGGCCAAGAAGAUCAUCAAAGCGCUGCAGAACCUUCUCUGUGAAGAAAGACUGAUCGAGUUAGGUCUUUCCUCCAUGGAGAACAGAAAUACAAGUCAGGACCUCGUCACAGUCUGCUAGCAUUAAAGGGCAAAGAGGGCAGAAGUUCUCUCUCCACCAGGAGCCACCUGGAGAACACAUGGGAAAAAAGUGUCCCUCAGUGAUCCUGGAGCCAUCUUUAGAAGAACAUUCAUGGGAUGUAAGAUUCUUCUUUUAGAAAGGCUACAAAGGGGACAACAUGAAAAAUAUUGGAUCUGCUGAAGUAAGGCAGUAAAUAAUGUGGCAACUUAUCCUUCACAAGCAGAGAAGAGGACAUGGCUACAGGAGCAUUUCCAUUCAUAGCAGACAAUUGCUAACUGCCUCUUUAAUCUGAGACUACUGCUUAAAGGAAAAGGUCUGUCAGGCAGUAGAGUGGAAGAGUGUCAUCAGGCUCCUGCCCUCGAGUGUCAUCAGGCUCCUGCCCUGGAAGGGAGCUAAUUUUACAGCACCCAGGCUGAUACCUCAGCCUCUCUGUGCAAAGGUUUUGUUCCCACACUGCUCCUGAGAACUAACCAGCAACAAACCCAAGUGCUUUAACAGAGCCAUCUGGAAACAGGAAACUAUGCAGGUCUGAGCUGAAAAGUGACAGUUACUAAUGGCUGCCACAGCCCAGAGAAUCUGCUGCCAUCUGCCUCCCUGCUGACUUUGGAUGCAUUUCCACCUGGUAGGGCCAUAGCCCACAGCUGAACCUUUGCUGAAAAGCAGGAUGUAAACAGAGCCACAUAUUAGGAUAAUGAAACAAAAUUAGUGCUCCUGUCCAGAGACAGCUUGGGAGUGAAGGGUCCCAAGGUUAUAUAAGAAAGUUCAGCCUGAACCUCAUUAAGGACCACUGCAAUCUACUGCACCCCACAUCUUGCAGUAUUAAAGGUUACCUGGUCCUGCAGUGGACAAGGUGACAGCACAUGGCAAUUCUGCUUUUUAAAGUGCUGGUGUUGAAAAGCCCCCACAAGCUCUGUGACUAGUACAGAACAAAGUUUUAAGCUUUAUUUAUUUGCUUGGAGGGAUUUACAUCAAAUCAGCCAGUAUCUCUUCCCUACAUCAACAUUUAUUUCAGUAGAACUACUUUUCAAACUUACAAAUGCAGAAGAAAAUAAACAAACAUAUAAUGAUCAUAAAUGUUUCCGAAAUUACAUUAUCUGAGUACUUUAAGAUAGUUACCUAUUUGUCUUUCUUUCUACCUUGUUUCUGUGUGGAUUACUUAAGAAACACCCUGUAAGGAACAACUGGUCUUUUACUUUGCUAAUAUUAUAUGAUUUUUCAAAUACUUGUAUUUUAAAUACAUUGAAGAGUAACUGUUUUGAA